AAUUAGAGAGGUGGAAAGGAGAAUUAAUUUUGUUUUGAGAGGUGGAAUUCGGAUAAUUGAGAUUAUAUUAUAUGUUUUCUUUUGCUUGAUUUUUCGAAAAAUUGGUUAGAGACCGGGAUUAGAUACCCCGUUAUUUUUUUUGUAAAUUUUAAUUAGUAAAUCAAUUUACCGGAGUAUUACGGGUUGGGUUAGGUAUAACUGGAGAGGCAUUACCCAUGCAACUUAAAACUCAAAAAACUUGGCGGUGCCUUAUUUCCUUCCAGGGGAACCUGUCCUGUAAUCGAUGGUCCGCGAUUUAGCUUACUUUUUUUUGUAUGGUCGUUGGACUAGAACAGUUUGUAUACCGUCGUCGUCAGAUUACCUUUAANAGAAUAAGAAGUUGUCGGAUAAAGUGGGGCAUAGAAUUUACCGAGUCAUUAGGUAACUCUAAUAUAAUGGUUUAAAAUGCUAAUUUUUGAUGUCAGAUCAAGGUGCAGCUUAUAAAAAAGUAGAGAUGGGUUACAUUAUGAAUUUCAUUAUGGAUUUUAAUUUGUAAUAUUUAUCUGAAAUUGGACUUGGGAGUAAUAUAUUUGUGUAUUCUUUGUAAAUUAGAAAGUUUAUGUGAACAUGGUACUAAGGUGCGU
rnacentral:rRNA from 1 species